rnacentral:rRNA from 1 species
CAGUCGCCGCGGUAAUACAGAGGGUGCGAGCGUUAAUCGGAUUUACUGGGCGUAAAGCGUGCGUAGGCGGCUAAUUGAGUCGGAUGUGAAAUCCCCGAGCUUAACUUGGGAAUUGCAUUCGAUACUGGUUAGCUAGAGUGUGGGAGAGGAUGGUAGAAUUCCAGGUGUAGCGGUGAAAUGCGUAGAGAUCUGGAGUAAUACCGAUGGCGAAGGCAGCCAUCUGGCCUAACACUGACGCUGAGGUACGAAAGCAUGGGGAGCAAACAGGAUUAGAUACCCCCGUAGUCCCUGUCUCUUAUAA